AGUUAUAUUAUUUAAUAUUUAAUACAAGCGAGAUUCACAUAAAUUAAUAGUCUAAAUGCAUUAGCCCGUGGCCUUUUCUUUGACCGAAAAACCAAAUUAGAUCGAUUAAGAUCAGUCUACAAUAAUUAAUUUGCAGGUCAAUCAAGAAUCUUAUCAACCAGGAAGCUACAAAAAAAUUUUGACAACUACUGUCUUACUUUCUG
rnacentral:misc_RNA from 1 species